UCUCUUCCUCUCUUCGUCUGUAUCUCUUCCUCUCUAUCUCUCUCCUUAUGAUGAAUCCACAGCCAUCCCGAACCUGAUUCUGAACCUCCUCCGACGAUACCUUCGAGUCCUCGGACACCGAAGAAGAAGGUUAGCUCCAAACUGAAUCGAUGGUCAGUGGGCCGAGCUUUACGAUCCGGUGCCGUUAAGGAAUUGAUCAGAGAAACCCAUGUUCCAAGUCGAAAACUUUGACGAUGAGUUUGUUCAGAAGCUGGUCUAUGAUGCUCUCGUUUGGUUUUCCCUUCACGGGCUCGUCGUCGGUGACAAAACUUAUCAGAAAUCAGGAACAGUUCCAGGGGUUUUGAGUUUAGAUGCCCCAAUUGCAUUGCUACCAACUCCGUUCCUAGAAAGUUACUGGAACCAAGCUUGUGAAGUCGGCUCCUAUCUUCAACGAAUUGGUUGAUCGUGUCAACUUGGAUGCCAAAUUCAUACAGGGUUGUCUCUCCAGGACAUUUGUUUGGGUUUACACCGGUCAGAUUAUAUGCUAGACGAAGACACAAAAUCACUUCUUCAGAUAGAGAUGAAUACUAUUUCCUGUUCCUUUCCAGGCUUUGGUCGUCUUGUUACCGAGCUACACCAGUCAUCGCUUAGAUCUCAUGGGGAUCAUCUUGGGUUAGACUCUGAACGUGUACCCAAAAACACAUCCAAUACCCAAAGAACUUAUUUCCAAAGUGAUGGCCAAGAAGUCUCGGUGGUUUAUUACAGAUCAUUUUCCAUCUGAAUCAGAAUGGAAUGCUAGGUUGCUUAUAGAGCAGUCCUCAGCAGUCAAAUGCCCGUCUAUAGCUUAUCAGUUAGCUGGCACCAAGAAAAUCCAGCAGGAACUUGCAAAACCAGGUGUUCUCGAGAGGUACAGUGGAUCAUCUUUUUAUUCAUGUUUCUGUUGGUUUAUUCCCUUCUAUAUAUUAAGUUUUGGUAAAACCAAACAAUUUGAUCACAAAUUUUCUCAUUUUCUCAUUUUCUCAUUCUCUAUAUAAAGUCAUAUUUUCUUUUCUCCUUCUCUAUAUAAAGGGUUAAUCAUUCUCUAUAUAAACCAAAUAAUUUUUUUUUAAGAACCCUUAAUUAAGAGACUAGCAUUGGAGCAUAUAAAUGUUGGUGUCUCUUAACUAAGUUCUUAAGUAAUAUUUAUUAUUAAAAAAGUCAUUAAGAGACCCUAAUGGGGUUGUAGGGUUUAUCAUGCUCUUAGAGUUUGCCGAUUUAUAAUAGUAAUUGAUCAUGAGAGAUUCCCAACGGAAAAAAGAAGCACGCCGUUGAAAUCAUAUUCAAAGAGAGUGUCAUAAAAUCGACCAGUCAAAGAUCAAACGGGAGACAUAAUGUAAGUCCACAAGCUCGGAAUUUCGGAAACAGACACAAAUUCGUAGACUUCGAGCUAGUCUAUCAAACAUCCAUAAAACAAAAGUGAGACCGACGGGCAGGAGUGAUUGCUAUCAGAUUGGUAC